CCGGAACACAGCACCUCUGGGAUGGAGCACUCCUAGCUAUGAAACAAGGCGACACAGCGAAGCAGCAGAGCAGAAGCAAGAACCAACUGAAAUUUAGGGAGGAUUUAUGAAGGCUGAAUGAAAUACCUCCUCCACAAGAAUGUCGAGAGGGAUUAAUUGGAUAAUGUUGGCUGCUACUCUGGGACAAGUCUCAUGGCACAGAUUUGUGUGGAAAUACUGAGGGGAAUUCUCUGAAGUAAAGUCAUCAGCUGGCCAAAAAUAAACAUUCUUGAAAAAA